rnacentral:rRNA from 1 species
UUGAAAGGGAAACGAUUGAAGUCAGUCGUACCAGCGGGAAAUCAACCUUUCGAGUGGGGGUUUUGGAGUUUUGAAGAGUGUCAAAACCUUUGAGAUUUCAAAAUUUUCGCUCCUUUGGUGUACUUUCUCGUGGGUAGGUUAACAUCGAUUUCGAUCAUCAUAAAAGGAUUGGAGGAAUGUAGCUUCGAUCUUGUAUUGAAGUGUUAUAGCCUUUGGUAAAUGUGAUGAUUGGGAUCGAGGAUUGCAACGAAUACCCUUUUGGGCUAUCCGCCUGAUCUCUGAUACGUGGCCUUGGCAUCGAAAGCUUGCUUAUGGUAUCAAGGUAUUACGGUCAAAAGGUUAGAACGGAUUACCUUCGUUAAGGACGUUGACGUA